rnacentral:rRNA from 1 species
CGUGCUUACACAUGCAAGUCGAACGAUGAUCUCCAGCUUGCUGGGGGGAUUAGUGGCGAACGGGUGAGUAACACGUGAGUAACCUGCCCUUGACUCUGGGAUAAGCCUGGGAAACUGGGUCUAAUACCGGAUACGACCGUCCCGCGCAUGCGGUGGUGGUGGAAAGCUUUUGCGGUUUUGGAUGGACUCGCGGCCUAUCAGCUUGUUGGUGGGGUAAUGGCCUACCAAGGCGACGACGGGUAGCCGGCCUGAGAGGGUGACCGGCCACACUGGGACUGAGACACGGCCCAGACUCCUACGGGAGGCAGCAGUGGGGAAUAUUGCACAAUGGGCGAAAGCCUGAUGCAGCGACGCCGCGUGAGGGAUGACGGCCUUCGGGUUGUAAACCUCUUUCAGUAGGGAAGAAGCGAAAGUGACGGUACCUGCAGAAGAAGCGCCGGCUAACUACGUGCCAGCAGCCGCGGUAAUACGUAGGGCGCAAGCGUUAUCCGGAAUUAUUGGGCGUAAAGAGCUCGUAGGCGGUUUGUCGCGUCUGCUGUGAAAGACCGGGGCUCAACUCCGGUUCUGCAGUGGGUACGGGCAGACUAGAGUGAUGUAGGGGAGACUGGAAUUCCUGGUGUAGCGGUGAAAUGCGCAGAUAUCAGGAGGAACACCGAUGGCGAAGGCAGGUCUCUGGGCAUUAACUGACGCUGAGGAGCGAAAGCAUGGGGAGCGAACAGGAUUAGAUACCCUGGUAGUCCAUGCCGUAAACGUUGGGCACUAGGUGUGGGGGACAUUCCACGUUUUCCGCGCCGUAGCUAACGCAUUAAGUGCCCCGCCU